rnacentral:rRNA from 1 species
GACGAACGCUGGCGGCGUGCUUAACACAUGCAAGUCGAACGGAAAGGCCCCUUUGGGGGUACUCGAGUGGCGAACGGGUGAGUAACACGUGAGUAACCUGCCCUUGACUUCGGGAUAACUCCAGGAAACUGGGGCUAAUACCGGAUAGGAAUCCUUGCUGCAUGGUGGGGGUUGGAAAGCUUCGGCGGUUUUGGAUGGACUCGCGGCUUAUCAGCUUGUUGGUGGGGUAGUGGCUUACCAAGGCUUUGACGGGUAGCCGGCCUGAGAGGGCGACCGGCCACAUUGGGACUGAGAUACGGCCCAGACUCCUACGGGAGGCAGCAGUGGGGAAUAUUGCACAAUGGGCGGAAGCCUGAUGCAGCAACGCCGCGUGCGGGAUGACGGCCUUCGGGUUGUAAACCGCUUUCAGCAGGGGCGAAGCUUGUGGUGACGGUACCUGCAGAAGAAGCACCGGCUAACUACGUG